UCAGGACGAACGCUGGCGGCGUGCCUAACACAUGCAAGUCGAACGAAGCACUUUCUGUUUGAGAUUCGUCAAGAACAGGAUUUGACUUAGUGGCGGACGGGUGAGUAAUGCGUGAGCAACCUGCCCUUCAGAGGGGGACAACAGUUGGAAACGACUGCUAAUACCGCAUGAUGUAUUCGGGAGGCAUCUUCUGGAUACCAAAGAUUUUAUCGCUGAAGGAUGGGCUCACGUCUGAUUAGUUAGUUGGUGGGGUAACGGCCUACCAAGACAGCGAUCAGUAGCCGGACUGAGAGGUUGAACGGCCACAUUGGGACUGAGAUACGGCCCAGACUCCUACGGGAGGCAGCAGUGGGGAAUAUUGGGCAAUGGGCGCAAGCCUGACCCAGCAACGCCGCGUGAAGGAAGAAGGCCUUCGGGUUGUAAACUUCUUUUAUGAGGGACGAAGGACGUGACGGUACCUCAUGAAUAAGCCACGGCUAACUACGUGCC
rnacentral:rRNA from 1 species